UGUGGCCGUAUGCUAACCGCCUCCUGCUAUAAAACCAUGGCUUUUGCUGCAUUUAACUCUGUAUCUCUUCUUGUUAGAGCCAUGGUCCGCCUUUACUCCAACACAAACCAAGCCCACUUACCCCUUUCUUUGAGCCCAAUACGGCCAUGGGUUCAACCCACAAUAAGCCACACAUGGUUCUCGUCCCCUUCCCAGCUCAAGGCCACAUAAACCCCACCAUGCAACUAGCAAAACUCCUCCACUCCAAGGGCUUCUACAUAACCUUUGUCAACACCGAGUACAAUCAAAACCAGAUUAACAAGGCCAGCAAUCGAUUUAUCAACUAGAGCUACCGGAUUUCAAGAUCGAAUCGAUUCCCGAUGGUCUUCCGCCGGAACACAGCCGGUUGCAUAAGAAUGUGGCUGAGUUUUGUGAGGCCAUGGGAAAAAACUUGACAACCCCAUUUAAGGAGCUGCUGGUUAGGCUUAAUGGAAGUGAAGGGAUUCCAAGGGUGAGUUAUAUUGUGAGUGCAGGGAUGAUGAGUUUCACGAGGGAGGUGGCGGAGGAGAUCGGGAUCCCGAGGGUCAGUUUCUGGACGUCUGGUGGGUGCGGUUACUGGGCUUUCCUUCAGAUCCCGGAGCUCAUAAGGCGAGGCUACACGCCAUUGAAAGAUAUGGCUUGCUUGGCUGAGGGGUAUCUUGACACUACUCUCGAUUGGAUACCGGGAAUGCCGAACAUUCUUCUCAAGGACAUGCCUUCUUUUAUCCGAACCACUGAUCCAAACUUUUUCCUCCUCAAUUACAUCAAAGAUGAAGUUCAACAUGCAUUCAAUGCUUCAGCUCUCAUUCUCAACACCUUUGAUGAUUUGGAGAAAGAUGUUCUUAAUGCGAUAAAAGAAAGAAUCCCUUGCCCUCUCUACACAUUAGGCCCUCUGCUCACCUUCAGUCACGAUGUGACCAAAGAAGAAGUAAAGCCUAUUUCGACGAGUCUGUGGAAAGAAGAGAGUGAAUGCUUGGACUGGCUUGACAGCCACCAGCCUCGAUCGGUCAUAUAUGUGAACUUUGGAAGUAUCACAGUAUUGACUCCUCAUCAGCUCAAUGAAUUUGCUUGGGGGCUGGCUAAUAGUGAGAAGCCCUUCAUAUGGAUCAUUCGCCAGGGCCUUGUACAGGGUGAAUCCACAACCUUGAGCCAUGAUUUCUAUGAUAAAACCAAGGGUAGAGGACUCAUAGCUAGUUGGUGCAACCAAAAGAAGGUGCUCUCACAUAGUUCAAUUGGUGGCUUCCUCACUCAUAGUGGAUGGAACUCUAUACUGGAGAGCAUAUGCAGUGGAGUGCCUGUUCUAUGUUGGCCCUUCUUUGCAGAGCAACAAACCAACUGCCGAUUCGCUUGCGUAGAGUGGGGGAUCGGAAUGGAGAUCGGCGAUGAUGUGAAAAGACAGAAGGUGGAGACUCAAGUGAAGGAAAUGAUUGAAGGACUUAAGGGGAUGAAGAUGAGGGCCAAUGCAAUGAAGUGGAAAGAAAGUUCAGAAAGAGCAAUUGGAAGUGGAGGCUCUUCUUCUGAGAAUUUGGAUCGGUUGGUUGUGGAAGUUUUGCUCAAGAAACAUGGGGAGUAACUAGAAGUUGCUCCCUACUCAUAUUAAUUAAUCUAUUGUGAGUGAUUUGAAUGCCUACAUAUAUUAAUGUGGUUAGUAUUUCAGGUUUCU